GUUUGAUCCUGGCUCAGAACGAACGCUGGCGGCAUGCCUUACACAUGCAAGUCGAACGGCAGCGCGGGGCAACCUGGCGGCGAGUGGCGAACGGGUGAGUAAUAUAUCGGAACGUACCCUGGAGUGGGGGAUAACGUAGCGAAAGUUACGCUAAUACCGCAUACGAUCUAAGGAUGAAAGUGGGGGAUUCGCAAGAACCUCAUGCUCCUGGAGCGGCCGAUAUCUGAUUAGCUAGUUGGUAGGGUAAAAGCCUACCAAGGCUUCGAUCAGUAGCUGGUCUGAGAGGACGACCAGCCACACUGGAACUGGGACACGGUCCAGACUCCUACGGGAGGCAGCAGUGGGGAAUUUUGGACAAUGGGCGCAAGCCUGAUCCAGCAAUGCCGCGUGAGUGAAGAAGGCCUUCGGGUUGUAAAGCUCUUUUGUCAGGGAAGAAACGGUGAGGGCUAAUAUCUCUUGCUAAUGACGGUACCUGAAGAAUAAGCACCGGCUAACUACGUGCCAGCAGCCGCGGUAAUACGUAGGGUGCAAGCGUUAAUCGGAAUUACUGGGCGUAAAGCGUGCGCAGGCGGUUUUGUAAGUUUGUCGUGAAAGCCCCGGGCUCAACCUGGGAAUUGCGAUGAAGACUGCAAGGCUUGAAUCUGGCAGAGGGGGGUAGAAUUCCACGUGUAGCAGUGAAAUGCGUAGAGAUGUGGAGGAACACCGAUGGCGAAGGCAGCCCCCUGGGUCAAGAUUGACGCUCAUGCACGAAAGCGUGGGGAGCAAACAGGAUUAGAUACCCUGGUAGUCCACGCCCUAAACGAUGUCUACUAGUUGUCGGGUUUUAAUUAACUUGGUAACGCAGCUAACGCGUGAAGUAGACCGCCUGGGGAGUACGGUCGCAAGAUUAAAACUCAAAGGAAUUGACG
rnacentral:rRNA from 1 species